UCAGAUUGAACGCUGGCGGCAUGCCUUACACAUGCAAGUCGAACGGCAGCGCGGGGCAACCUGGCGGCGAGUGGCGAACGGGUGAGUAAUAUAUCGGAACGUACCCUGGAGUGGGGGAUAACGUAGCGAAAGUUACGCUAAUACCGCAUACGAUCUAAGGAUGAAAGUGGGGGAUCGCAAGACCUCAUGCUCCUGGAGCGGCCGAUAUCUGAUUAGCUAGUUGGUAGGGUAAAAGCCUACCAAGGCAUCGAUCAGUAGCUGGUCUGAGAGGACGACCAGCCACACUGGAACUGAGACACGGUCCAGACUCCUACGGGAGGCAGCAGUGGGGAAUUUUGGACAAUGGGCGCAAGCCUGAUCCAGCAAUGCCGCGUGAGUGAAGAAGGCCUUCGGGUUGUAAAGCUCUUUUGUCAGGGAAGAAACGGUGAGGGCUAAUAUCCCUUGCUAAUGACGGUACCUGAAGAAUAAGCACCGGCUAACUACGUGCCAGCAGCCGCGGUAAUACGUAGGGUGCAAGCGUUAAUCGGAAUUACUGGGCGUAAAGCGUGCGCAGGCGGUUUUGUAAGACUGUCGUGAAAUCCCCGGGCUCAACCUGGGAAUGGCGAUGGUGACUGCAAGGCUAGAGUUUGGCAGAGGGGGGUAGAAUUCCACGUGUAGCAGUGAAAUGCGUAGAUAUGUGGAGGAACACCGAUGGCGAAGCAGCCCCCUGGGUCAAACUGACGCUCAUGCACGAAAGCGUGGGGAGCA
rnacentral:rRNA from 1 species